AACGAACGCUGGCGGCAUGCCUAACACAUGCAAGUCGAACGAGACCUUCGGGUCUAGUGGCGCACGGGUGCGUAACGCGUGGGAAUCUGCCUUUCGGUUCGGAAUAACUCGGGGAAACCCGUGCUAAUACCGGAUGAUGUCGCAAGACCAAAGAUUUAUCGCUGAAAGAUGAGCCCGCGUAGGAUUAGCUAGUUGGUGAGGUAAAGGCUCACCAAGGCGACGAUCCUUAGCUGGUCUGAGAGGAUGAUCUGCCACACUGGGACUGAGACAAGGCCCAGACUCCUACGGGAGGCAGCCGUGGGGAAUAUUGGACAAUGGGCGCAAGCCUGAUGCAGCAACGCCGCGUGAGGGACGACGGCCUUUGGGUUGUAAACCUCUUUUAGCAGGGAAGAAGCGAGAGUGACGGUACCUGCAGAAAAAGCACCGGCUAACUACGUGCCAGCCGCCGCAGUAACAC
rnacentral:rRNA from 1 species